UGGUGGAGUGAUUUGUCUGGUUAAUUCCGUUAACGAACGAGACCUCGACCUGCUAAAUAGUUCGUGCUAGCCUUUGGGCUAGCGACGCGACUUCUUAGAGGGACUAUCGGUGUGUAGCCGAUGGAAGUUCGAGGCAAUAACA
rnacentral:rRNA from 1 species